rnacentral:rRNA from 1 species
GACGAACGCUGGCGGCGUGCUUAACACAUGCAAGUCGAACGGAAAGGCCCUGCUUUUGUGGGGUGCCCGAGUGGCGAACGGGUGAGUAACACGUGAGUAACCUGCCCUUGACUUUGGGAUAACUUCAGGAAACUGGGGCUAAUACCGGAUAGGAGCUCCUGCUGCAUGGUGGGGGUUGGAAAGUUUCGGCGGUUGGGGAUGGACUCGCGGCUUAUCAGCUUGUUGGUGGGGUAGUGGCUUACCAAGGCUUUGACGGGUAGCCGGCCUGAGAGGGUGACCGGCCACCAUGGGACUGAGAUAGGGCCCAGACUCCUACGGGAGGCAGCAGUGGGGAAUAUUGCACAAUGGGCGGGAGCCUGAUGCAGCGGCGCCGCGUGCGGGAUGACGGCCUUCGGGUUGUAAACCGCUUUCGCCUGUGACGAAGCGUGAGUGACGGUAAUGGGUAAAGAAGCACCGGCUAACUACGUG